GUGGUUGCUUCAGCAGCACAUAUACCAAAAUUGGAAAGAUACAGAGAAGAUUGGCACAGCCCCUGUGCAAG
ensembl:snRNA U6 U6 spliceosomal RNA